rnacentral:misc_RNA from 1 species
GUUGAGUUGUGUGUACUGCUAUGUUUGAGUAUUAAACUCGAUUUUAUGUUGCAUGUGUAUUUCUUAUGCAAAGGAUUGUGUUGCUUCUGUUGAAAAAAUUACUCAACUUCAUUGAAUGAUUUUAUCAGAAUUGUGAUGCUGAAAACAUUAACAGCACUCUGUCAAUUUAGAAAGGGGUUUCUAUUAUGAACUUAAGUUCAUUGUUGGCCCUUGUAUGCUGU